rnacentral:tRNA from 1 species
AACGGAGUAGUCUAAUUUUAGGGCAUUGGGUUGUAGCCCCAAAAGUGAAGUAAAUUUCCUCCGUGA